rnacentral:rRNA from 1 species
CACGUAGGGUGCGAGCGUUGUCCGGAAUUAUUGGGCGUAAAGAGCUCGUAGGCGGUGUGUCGCGUCGGCCGUGAAAACCUGCAGCUUAACUGUGGGCCUGCAGCCGAUACGGGCAAGCUAGAAUUCGGUAGGGGAGACUGGAAUUCCUGGUGUAGCGGUGAAAUGCGCAGAUAUCAGGAGGAACACCGGUGGCGAAGGCGGGUCUCUGGGCCGAUAUUGACGCUGAGGAGCGAAAGCGUGGGGAGCAAACAGG